rnacentral:rRNA from 1 species
AGUCACUGACAUUAGAUACCCGUGUAGUCCCAGCCGUAAACUAUGCGCGUUAGGUGUAUCGGUGACCACGAGUCACCGAGGUGCCGAAGGGAACCGUGAAACGUGCCGCCUGGGAAGUACGGUCGCAAGGCUGAAACUUAAAGGAAUUGGCGGGGGAGCACAACAACGGGUGGAGCCUGCGGUUUAAUUGGACUCAACGCCGGACAACUCACCGGGGACGACAGCAAUAUGUAGGCCAGGCUGAAGACCUUCGCCUGAAUCGCUG